AGCGGCGGAUGGGUGAGUAACACGUGGGGAACCUGCCCCUAAGUCUGGGAUACCGUUUGGAAACAGGUGCUAAUACCGGAUAAUAAAGCAGAUCACAUGAUCAGCUUUUGAAAGGCGGCGUAAGCUGUCGCUAAGGGAUGGCCCCGCGGUGCAUUAGCUAGUUGGUAAGGUAACGGCUUACCAGGGCGACGAUGCAUAGCCGAGUUGAGAGACUGAUCGGCCACAUUGGGACUGAGACACGGCCCAAACUCCUACGGGAGGCAGCAGUAGGGAAUCUUCCACAAUGGACGCAAGUCUGAUGGAGCAACGCCGCGAGAGUGAAGAAGGUUUUCGGAUCGUAAAGCUCUGUUGUUGGUGAAGAAGGAUAGAGGUAGUAACUGGCCUUUAUUUGACGGUAAUCAACCAGAAAGUCACGGCUAACUACGUGCCAGCAGCCGCGGUAAUACGUAGGUGGCAAGCGUUGUCCGGAUUUAUUGGGCGUAAAGCGAGCGCAGGCGGAAAAAUAAGUCUAAUGUGAAAGCCCUCGGCUUAACCGAGGAACUGCAUCGGAAACUGUUUUUCUUGAGUGCAGAAGAGGAGAGUGGAACUCCAUGUGUAGCGGUGGAAUGCGUAGAUAUAUGGAAGAACACCAGUGGCGAAGGCGGCUCUCUGGUCUGCAACUGACGCUGAGGCUCGAAAGCAUGGGUAGCGAACAGGAUUAGAUACCCUGGUAGUCCAUGCCGUAAACGAUGAGUGCUAAGUGU
rnacentral:rRNA from 1 species